GACGAACGCUGGCGGCGUGCUUAACACAUGCAAGUCGAACGAACAGGCCCUGCUUUUGUUGGUUGCUCGUGUGGCGAACGCGUGAGUAACACGUGAGUAACCUGCCCUUGUCUUUGUGAUAUCUCCUCGAAACUGGGGCUAAUAUCGCAUAUGAGCUCCUGCUGCAUGUUGGUCGUUGGAAAGUUCCGGCUGUUGGGGAUGUACUCGCUGCUUAUCAGCUUGUUGGUGUGGUAGUGGCUUACCAAGGGUUUGACGGGUAGCCUGCCUGAGAGGGUUACCGGGCACAAGGGGACUGAGAGACGGAGCAGACGGGUACGGGAGGCAGCAGGGGGAAACAUUACAGAAUAGGGGGAAGCGAGAUGCAAAGACGUCGGGUGCGGGAUAACGGGCUUCGGGUUGUAAACCGAUUUGGCAGGAGACGAAGCGUGAGUGACGGUAAUGGGUAAAGAAGCAACGGCUAACUACGUG
rnacentral:rRNA from 1 species